CAGCCGCCGCGGUAUACGGAGGGCGCGAGCGUUACCCGGAUUUACUGGGCGUAAAGGGCGUGUAGGCGGUCUGGGGCGUCCCAUGUGAAAGGCCACGGCUCAACCGUGGAGGAGCGUGGGAUACGCUCAGGCUAGAGGGUGGGAGAGGGUGGUGGAAUUCCCGGAGUAGCGGUGAAAUGCGCAGAUACCGGGAGGAACGCCGAUGGCGAAGGCAGCCACCUGGUCCACUUCUGACGCUGAGGCGCGAAAGCGUGGGGAGCAAACCGGAUUAGAUACCCCGGUAGUCCCUGUCUCUUAUACA
rnacentral:rRNA from 1 species